CCUACGGGUGGCAGCAGUAGGGAAUAUUGCUCAAUGGGGGAAACCCUGAAGCAGCAACGCCGCGUGGAGGAUGAAGGUUUUCGGAUUGUAAACUCCUUUUGUUAGAGAAGAUAAUGACGGUAUCUAACGAAUAAGCACCGGCUAACUCCGUGCCAGCAGCCGCGGUAAUACGGAGGGUGCAAGCGUUACUCGGAAUCACUGGGCGUAAAGAGCGCGUAGGCGGGAUAGCAAGUCAGAUGUGAAAUCCUAUGGCUUAACCAUAGAACUGCAUUUGAAACUGUUAUUCUAGAGUAUGGGAGAGGUAGGUGGAAUUCUUGGUGUAGGGGUAAAAUCCGUAGAGAUCAAGAGGAAUACUCAUUGCGAAGGCAGCUUACCAAGCUACUUCUGACGUUGAGGCACGAAAGCGUGGGGAGCAAACAGGAUUAGAUACCCCAGUAGUC
rnacentral:rRNA from 1 species